UACGUAGGUGGCAAGCGUUGUUCGGAAUUAUUGGGCGUAAAGGGCGCGUAGGCGGUCUUGUAAGUCAGCUGUGAAAGCCCGGGGCUCAACCCCGGAGGGUCGGCUGAUACUGCAGGACUGGAGUACGGAAGAGGUAGCUGGAAUUCCCGGUGUAGCGGUGAAAUGCGCAGAUAUCAGGAGGAACACCGGUGGCGAAGGCGGGUCUCUGGGCCGAUACUGACGCUGAGGAGCGAAAGCGUGGGGAGCGAACAGG
rnacentral:rRNA from 1 species